rnacentral:rRNA from 1 species
UACGAAGGGUGCUAGCGUUGCUCGGAAUCACUGGGCGUAAAGGGUGCGUAGGCGGGUCUUUAAGGUAGGGGUGAAAUCCUGGAGCUCAACUCCAGAACUGCCUUUGAUACUGAAGAUCUUGAGUUCGGGAGAGGUGAGUGGAACUGCGAGUGUAGAGGUGAAAUUCGUAGAUAUUCGCAAGAACACCAGUGGCGAAGGCGGCUCACUGGCCCGAUACUGACGCUGAGGCACGAAAGCGUGGGGAGCAAACAGG